AGAGUUUGAUCCUGGCUCAGAUUGAACGCUGGCGGAAUGCUUUACACAUGCAAGUCGAACGAUGAAGCCUGGCUUGCUCCGCUGAUUAGUGGCGAACGGGUGAGUAAUGUAUCGGAACGUGUCCUGUAAUGGGGGAUAACGAGUCGAAAGAUUCGCUAAUACCGCAUACGCCCCACGGGGGAAAGCGGGGGAUCUUAGGACCUUGCGUUAUUGGAGCGGCCGAUGUCUGAUUAGCUAGUUGGUGAGGUAAAGGCUCACCAAGGCGACGAUCCGUAGCUGGUCUGAGAGGACGACCAGCCACACUGGAACUGAGACACGGUCCAGACUCCUACGGGAGGCAGCAGUGGGGAAUUUUGGACAAUGGGCGAAAGCCUGAUCCAGCCAUUCCGCGUGAGUGAAGAAGGCCUUCGGGUUGUAAAGCUCUUUCGACGGGAAGAAAACUUACUUUCUAAUAAUGAGUGAGGUUGACGGUACCUUGAUAAGAAGCACCGGCUAACUACGUGCCAGCAGCCGCGGUAAUACGUAGGGGUGCGAGCGUUAAUCGGAAUUACUGGGGCGUAAAGCGUGCGCAGGGCGGUAUGGUAAGUCAGAUGUGAAAUCCCCGAGCUCAACUUGGGAACUGCGUUUGAAACUACCAGACUAGAAUAUGUCAGAGGGAGGUAGAAUUCCACGUGUAGCAGUGAGAUGCGUAGAGAUGUGGAGGACUACCAAUGGCGAAAGCAGCCUCCCUGGGAUAAUAUUGACGCUCAUGCACGAAAGCGUGGGGAGCAAACAGGAUUAGAUACCCUGUAGUCCACGCCCUAAACGAUGUCUACUAGUUGUUCGGUGAGUAGAAUCCAUGAGUAACGCAGCUAACGCGUGAAGUAGACCGCCUGGGGAGUACGGUCGCAAGAUUAAACUCAAGGAUUGACGGGGGCCCGCACAGCGUGGAUUAUGUGAUUAUUCGAUGCACGCGAAAACCUUACUAGCCUGACAUGCA
rnacentral:rRNA from 1 species